rnacentral:rRNA from 1 species
GAUCAUGGCUCAGGAUGAACGCUAGCUACAGGCUUAACACAUGCAAGUCGAGGGGAAACGACAUCGAAAGCUUGCUUUUGAUGGGCGUCGACUGGCGCACGGGUGAGUAACGCGUAUCCAACCUGCCCAUCACUUGGGAAUAACCUUGCGAAAGUAAGACUAAUGCCCAAUGAUAUCCCACGAAGGCAUCCGAAUGGGAUUAAGGAUUUAUCGGUGAUGGAUGGGGAUGCGU